AUUUAAUCGAAGACGGAAACCAACGCUAUACUUCUAAACUUGUUUCCCAUCAGUAAAACACCUUUUUUCUAGGGUUGCUCACCACCCCACAGCUCCCUCACUUAGCGCAGAAUGCCUUCAACUUCUUACUGCAGAAGGACCAGCUGGAAUCUUCUUCAUAUGCCAGCACACACAUACACUGAGGAUCUAUAUGGUGAAAAUUAAUAAAAGGAAACUUUAUUUAAAAUGGAGUCAGGAGGCCAGAAGGGGGCGCUCCCACACAGUACCACUGAAGGGCAGUUACAGGAAGGAUUGUCAACAAGACCCAACAAGAAGAACGGUCAACAGGAAAGAAUGGUAAAUUAGAGGCCUCAACAGGAAAGAUGCACAUUGCAUUUCCUGGAGGAAAUUGACUACCCCAGCAACUAAGCCAAUGAGAACCUGUCAUCACCUGAACUCCUGCGUUCUUCGGAUGGACUUCCUCUCAAAACAAACCCUCCCAACUACCUCCCUUUUCUCUGUAAAAUAACAUUCCCCUCUUUUGCUUGCUGGAUUUGCCUGUGGUCUGCCAUAGUGUCACCAGUGUAUUCCCUAAGUAACUCGAAGGAAGUUUAAAGGAGCUUAACACUCCCUCAAGGUUGUUUUUCAGAGCCAUGUCAGCAUCAACCAGCCUGAACCAGAUCAAGCCCCACUGCAAGGGCAGCACCUGCGCAGAUGACCUGAAGAUGACCAGAAAAUGCCCUCUUCCUCAUCUCAGUACUGUAAUCUCCAGCCUAGGAGGAGCCUAGGUCUUAGUAGCAUAACACAUGAUUUACAUGAGAGCAUGUUUUCAGUCUGUGCCUGCACCAGCUGAUACCCACCUCUACAUGUGAUGAUGAAACUUCCCUUCUAAAUAUUCAUUCCCUCCUGAAACAAAAGGACCUGCUUCCCUUUGUUCAGGGAGUCCCAACUUUGGAAAUGAUUCUGCAUGGUCGCCUGUUUGCUGCAAAUAUACUUUAUUUUGUGUGACGACUGGUUCGGGUGGAGAGUCUGAUUUUAACUCACCAGGCAGUGAACUCAUCUUGCUUCAGUGGCAAUAGCACGCACGUCCUAAACUGCAGUUCUUUGGCUCUUUCAGAAUACACUUGUUUUGCAAAUAAAACGACUGUCUGAUUUACUUUUUAAGUUGACAUAUAUGGUGUCAGAAAGAGAGCUAAAGGAGGCAACCCCGAGAGACGACGACCUCUGGAACUGAGUGAGGUACCUGCACUGAACCCCUUGCACUUAUUGCUUCCAUGAGUUACUGCCUACUUUGAGUCUGGUGUGUCUCCUCUGGGAUUCCAAGGUCCACUCCCUUUGCAUUCUGAGCUCUCCCACUUCAUUCAGGGUUGGGAGAGGCUUUGUCCUUCCCGGUUCGAGGCUUCAUC
ensembl:lncRNA